GGAUGGGUGUCCGAGCGGUUUAAGGAACUGGUCUUGAAAACCAGCGUGCGUGGAAGCGUACCGUGGGUUCGAAUCCCCCCCCAUCCGCCA
rnacentral:tRNA from 1 species